GGGGAAUUUUCCGCAAUGGGUGAAAGCCUGACGGAGCAACGCCGCGUGAGGGAUGAAGGCCUCUGGGCUGUAAACCUCUUUUAUCAAGGAAGAGGAUCUGACGGUACUUGAUGAAUAAGCCACGGCUAAUUCCGUGCCAGCAGCCGCGGUAAUACGGGAGUGGCAAGCGUUAUCCGGAAUUAUUGGGCGUAAAGCGUCCGCAGGCGGCCCUUCAAGUCUGCUGUUAAAAAGUGGAGCUUAACUCCAUCAUGGCAGUGGAAACUGUUGGGCUUGAGUGUGGUAGGGGGCAGAGGGAAUUCCCGGUGUAGCGGUGAAAUGCGUAGAUAUCGGGAAGAACACCAGUGGCGAAGGCGCUCUGCUGGGCCAUCACUGACGCUCAUGGACGAAAGCCAGGGGAGCGAAAGGGAUUAGAUACCCCUGUAGUC
rnacentral:rRNA from 1 species